rnacentral:lncRNA from 1 species
AUGGCAUGAGAGGGGCUGGAAUGGUUGUUACUUUUUGGUGCAUUAUAUUGCAAAACCUUCCAUGAAACUUGCUAACCUAUAAAUUCUGCCAAUCUCCUUGUGCCAUGUGCCAUGUCAGUGAUAGAGAGGUUCUUUAUUGUUAUAGAAUGUUGCCUUGAUCUCUUUGCAACAUAAUUAUUGACAAGGCCAAUUUCAAUUGCUUAGCUGACAUUAGUGGUAUUUGAAAUGUAGAAGGAUGCAUAUGUUUCAUCAGCGUCUACUCACCUC